GACGGACGCUGGCGGCGCGCCUAAACAUGCAAGUCGAACGUGAAGCCCGGAGCUUGCUCUGGGUGGAAAGUGGCGAACGGGUGAGGAGCACGUGAGAAACCUGCCCUGGAGACCGGGAUAACACCGGGAAACCGGUGCUAAUACCGGAUGUCCUCAUCGGACCGCAUGAUCCGAUGAGGAAAUGGAUUCCGCUCCAGGAUGGUCUCGCGGCCUAUCAGCUUGUUGGUGAGGUAACGGCUCACCAAGGCUUCGACGGGUAGCUGGUCUGAGAGGAUGUCCAGCCACACUGGGACUGAGACACGGCCCAGACUCCUACGGGAGGCAGCAGUUAGGAAUCUUGCGCAAUGGGCGAAAGCCUGACGCAGCGACGCCGCGUGCGGGAUGAAUGCCUUCGGGUUGUAAACCGCUUUCAGCAGGGACGAUAUUGACGGUACCUGCAGAAGAAGCCCCGG
rnacentral:rRNA from 1 species